UGUCAAGAGAUCUAAAAGGGAUUCCUUUGAGUCACUUUCCUCACAUUCUAUGACUCUGAAAAAUUCUUUUGAUAAAUUCAUGAUAAUUUGGCGAAUUAGGAGACCGAUGCAGGAGGGUUAAAUUCUGCUCUUACAAUUAAAUACAGAGUAAAAAAAACUUCAUGUAAGUCUU